rnacentral:tRNA from 1 species
AGCCUUGAGGUGUAAACAUAUCAGAUUGCAAAUCUGAAGUCGCAAGCUAACUGCUUGCCGGGGCUU